rnacentral:sRNA from 1 species
AAAAAAACAAUCUAAAAAUAUAUAACAUAAAAUGUUUAUUAUUAUGAUUCCAUAUUUAUAACAUAUGUCCACAUGUUUUCUGCUAUUGUUGCUCUCCAAUUAUUAGCAAGUACUCUUUGUUGUUCUUGAGUACCUUGACCCUCUUCAUACGCUUAUUUUUCUCAUCGCCGCUUUCAUCAAUGCCAUUUUCUUCGAGAACAUCUUUCUUAGGAAAAACACAUCCGAACGACAUUCCUUACGAAGAUAAUUAUGUAAAACAACACAUGCAAAUAUUAACUCUGCUUGUGUCUUAUAUGGAAAGGGAGGUGCAUAUUUGAAGAUAAGAAAUCUUAAUUUGAAGAUUCCAAAAAUCCUCUCUAUUACGUUUCGCAAGCUAGAAUGCCGAUGGUUGAACAACUCAUUUUGAUUGUUGGGAUCUUUUCCUUGUCCUCUAAAGUCUUGGAGAUGAUACCGAGUACUUCGAAAUAGAGCAAAACAAUUACGACAAUUGGCGAAUCCACAGUCAACUAAAUAAAAAAAUUUCUGUAAUUUAAAGCACAAAAUAUAAGUAGGAUAAAAUACAAAUUAAUAACA